AUUGAACGCUGGCGGCAGGCCUAACACAUGCAAGUCGAACGAGUGGCGGACGGGUGAGUAAUGUCUGGGACACUGCCCGAUGGAGGGGGAUAACUACUGGAAACGGUAGCUAAUACCGCAUACCAUCUGAUGUGCCGAGAUGGGAUUAGCUAGUAGGUGGGGUAACGGCUCACCUAGGCGACGAUCCCUAGCUGGUCUGAGAGGAUGACCAGCCACACUGGAACUGAGACACGGUCCAGAAUCCUACGGUAGGCAACGGGGGGGAAUAUUGCACAAUAGGCGCAAGCCUAAUGCAACCAUGCCGAGUGUAUGAAGAAGGCCUGCGUGUUGUAAAGUACUUUCAGCUAGGAGGCGUUACUCGCAGAAGAAGCACCGGCUAACUCCGUGCCAGCAGCCGCGGUAAUUC
rnacentral:rRNA from 1 species